rnacentral:lncRNA from 1 species
UGAUAGUCACCAUUUUGGAUAAUUUAUUUAUUUUUACUUUUCACUUUUACUAAUUCUUUGAGAAUUUCAUACAAUAUAUCCUGAUCAUAUUCAUUCCCUCCCCAACACUUGCCAGAUCACCUUCCUUACCACUGACAUUGGUACCUUCUGCUUUUUAAAAACCUAUUAAAUACAGUUUGUGCUGCCCAUAUACUCUUGGGUGCAUGGUCUUUAUUGGGACAUGGUAAACUACCAGAGCCCUAGCCCUAAAAAAAAAAAAAAAAAAAAAAAAAAAAAAAAAAAAAAAAAAAAAAAAAAAAUAGACUCUCACUCUCCCCGCAUUUAUCAGCUGUCAAGAACUUCCUAGCCAGGGGAGGACUUCAUGGCUCCCUCCCCUCUCGAUACCGAGAUUUUGUCUGGCCUAAGACUGUCACAGAUGCUCUAAGUGCAUGUGUGUAACUGCAUUGCUCUGCUCAUAAAACACUGUUUUCUUGAAGUCAUAAAACACUGUUUUCUUGAAGUCAUUCACAGCGUCUGGCUUUUAAAAUAUUUCCACUUCCUUUGUUUCAGCAAAUCCCAAAUAUUGAGAAAAAUGAGAAUACAAUAGCUAUUCCAUUUACCUUUAAAGAAUCUCAUUCAGCACACUGUUAGGAUAUCCUAAUUCAAUCUUUUUCCUGUUUUUCUUAAUCUUUCUACAAUACCUUGAUUUAUUUAUUUUUCUCAGUUUAAAUUAAUAAGAAUUUAAUGCUAGAUUUCACCUGUUAUCUACUGGUAACAUAAAUACAUUUAAUUUCUGAAGAUUAUUAAGCAGAGAACUCUUAAGUCAACACAAAUACCAACACCAUUUCUUGCACUGAAACAAAUAGGAGACUUCGUGGCAUAAUGCAUCUGAAUUGACAUUUAUAAUCAGUUACAUGUAUGCAGACUGGUGGGAAGUGAGCCCUAUCAUCCCAUUUCAUCCUCUCCAACAACAGUAAGUAGUUGGUGAGUCACAUUAACAUUGACAGAGACUAAGCGUCCUGUCCCAGGCAGUUAGCUAUUGAAGCUGAGAUUCACAUUUUGCUGUGGACUGGACUCAGUCAGUCCCUCAACCCACGGGGAACCAGGGUCUCCGUGCUCAGGUGAGCAAGGAGUUGGUGAAAAGUGACAGACACUGACACAAAGAGAGUGCUGUAUCCAAAUGUAUUUUCUCAAAGCGAGCAUCAGACUUAUAUUACAAAAGAAAAUAAAGAAGUUAGGUGACACAUCAGCUAAGGUACAUUGACACAAAGCAGAGAAAUGCAUACAUAAAGACUGACAGGAACCAGGCAGUGUUUACAACUGAGAUAAAAGGCAGCCCUUUCUAAAGUCAGCCAUUAGAGAGCCAGGUGAGGGAUUCACACCCUAGUCACAAUCUAUGCUAUUCCUCUGAGCCUUGUGAAAGCUUGUACCAGGGGGUUAACCUUUUCAUGAAUAAUGCAAUACUGAAGUUCCUCCUUAAACCACAACCCACCUUCUUUCUACUAUCAUGUAAUGUAGGCUGCUAUUCAUGUCUGUAAUAAGAAUUCUAAGUUUACUAUUUUGAACUAGUCCCGAGAUUUCUAGCUCCUAUCUGGCAAACUGUGGGAUGCCUGAUUACUAUCAACACUGGAAGCAUUUUGUCUGAAUGAGUAACAGUCUUAUGAAAUUCCAAGCCCAGGGUCAGCUCAAGGACUGUCUACAACAUUGGUGAAGGCCAGGAAGCAAAGUUCAACCUAAUUUAGGUAUUUGUCAAAACAUUCCUUGGAGGCACGUACAAAAAAAAGCAAUGCUGAAAGAAAGCACACAGAGCCAUUCACCAACUAUAGCAAGGGACAAAUCUGAAAUACAUCUGUUUAUGGGGUGCCAGAAACUUUCCAGGAGACAACUUUCCAUGAAACUUUAUGCCUCAGGACUACGGCCAAGCUUUUGGAUUUGCCAUGCAAACUUCACUGGAGUGGGUGUGGCAACACUUGAGCAGUCUGCCUCUCUUGAGUAUCACACUCUCAUGUGAGCUGAUAGACUUUGUGUAAACUCCCUCACUCCCUGGGAAGUACUUUUUGAGGGCAAGAAUAGGU